rnacentral:rRNA from 1 species
GACGAACCGUCCAAACGUUAUUCGGAAUCACUGGGCUUACAGAGUUCGUAGGCGGUCUGGAAAGUUGGGUGUGAAAUCCCUCGGCUCAACCGAGGAACUGCGCUUGAAACUACCAGACUCGAGGGAGAUAGAGGAAAGCGGAACUGAUGGUGGAGCGGUGAAAUGCGUUGAUAUCAUCAGGAACACCGGUGGCGAAGGCGGCUUUCUGGGUCUUACCUGACGCUGAGGAACGGAAAGCCAGGGGAGCGAACAGGA